rnacentral:lncRNA from 1 species
AGAGAGAGAGGCUCUUCAUUUCUGAGAGAGACUCUCCUCUCUCGGCAGGAGCCGCAGGACAUCUCCCAUCGGGGUUGGGGCGCGACUCGCGAGGGCGAAUCGGCGAAGAACGCUUCUCGCGCCGGCAGGUGGAAGUAGCUAUUCUUGGCCUCUUGGGUGAAGCCCCCGCCGGCUCCUCUUCCCGUAGGCCCCCGCCGGCGACUUCUUCUCCCAGUCCAUUG